GUCAGGAUGGCUGAGCGGUAUAAGGCGCCAGAUUUAAGCUCUGGUUCUCGAAGGAGAGCGUGGGUACGGAACUCUACUCCUGACA